UGGGGAAUCUUGGACAAUGGGCGAAAGCCUGAUCCAGCCAUGCCGCGUGAGUGAAGAAGGCCUUAGGGUUGUAAAGCUCUUUUGGCAGGGACGAUAAUGACGGUACCUGCAGAAUAAGCCCCGGCAAACUUCGUGCCAGCAGCCGCGGUAAUACGAAGGGGGCUAGCGUUGUUCGGAAUUACUGGGCGUAAAGCGCACGUAGGCGGGUUGUUAAGUCAGGGGUGAAAUCCUGGAGCUCAACUCCAGAACUGCCUUUGAUACUGGCAACCUAGAGACUGGAAGAGGUUAGUGGAAUUCCCAGUGUAGAGGUGAAAUUCGUAGAUAUUGGGAAGAACACCAGUGGCGAAGGCGGCUAACUGGUCCAGCACUGACGCUGAGGUGCGAAAGCGUGGGGAGCAAACAG
rnacentral:rRNA from 1 species